rnacentral:rRNA from 1 species
AUGAACGCUAGCUACAGGCUUAACACAUGCAAGUCGAGGGGCAGCAUGGUCUUAGCUUGCUAAGGCCGAUGGCGACCGGCGCACGGGUGAGUAACACGUAUCCAACCUGCCGUCUACUCUUGGACAGCCUUCUGAAAGGAAGAUUAAUACAAGAUGGCAUCAUGAGUCCACAUGUUCACAUGAUUAAAGGUAUUCCGGUAGACGAUGGGGAUGCGUUCCAUUAGAUAGUAGGCGGGGUAACGGCCCACCUAGUCUUCGAUGGAUAGGGGUUCUGAGAGGAAGGUCCCCCACAUUGGAACUGAGACACGGUCCAAACUCCUACGGGAGGCAGCAGUGAGGAAUAUUGGUCAAUGGGCGAGAGCCUGAACCAGCCAAGUAGCGUGAAGGAUGACUGCCCUAUGGGUUGUAAACUUCUUUUAUAAAGGAAUAAAGUCGGGUAUGCAUACCCGUUUGCAUGUACUUUAUGAAUAAGGAUCGGCUAACUCCGUGCCAGCAGCCGCGGUAAUACGGAGGAUCCGAGCGUUAUCCGGAUUUAUUGGGUUUAAAGGGAGCGUAGAUGGAUGUUUAAGUCAGUUGUGAAAGUUUGCGGCUCAACCGUAAAAUUGCAGUUGAUACUGGAUAUCUUGAGUGCAGUUGAGGCAGGCGGAAUUCGUGGUGUAGCGGUGAAAUGCUUAGAUAUCACGAGGAACUCCGAUUGCGAAGGCAGCCUGCUAAGCUGCAACUGACAUUGAGGCUCGAAAGUGUGGGUAUCAAACAGGAUUAGAUACCCUGGUAGUCCACACGGUAAACGAUGAAUACUCGCUGUUUGCGAUAUACAGCAAGCGGCCAAGCGAAAGCGUUAAGUAUUCCACCUGGGGAGUACGCCGGCAACGGUGAAACUCAAAGGAAUUGACGGGAGCCCGCACAAGCGGAGGAACAUGUGGUUUAAUUCGAUGAUACGCGAGGAACCUUACCCGGGCUUAAAUUGCAGAUGAAUUACGGUGAAAGCCGUAAGCCGCAAGGCAUCUGUGAAGGUGCUGCAUGGUUGUCGUCAGCUCGUGCCGUGAGGUGUCGGCUUAAGUGCCAUAACGAGCGCAACCCUUGUUGUCAGUUACUAACAGGUUCCGCUGAGGACUCUGACAAGACUGCCAUCGUAAGAUGUGAGGAAGGUGGGGAUGACGUCAAAUCAGCACGGCCCUUACGUCCGGGGCUACACACGUGUUACAAUGGGGGGUACAGAGGGCCGCUACCACGCGAGUGGAUGCCAAUCCCCAAAACCUCUCUCAGUUCGGACUGGAGUCUGCAACCCGACUCCACGAAGCUGGAUUCGCUAGUAAUCGCGCAUCAGCCACGGCGCGGUGAAUACGUUCCCGGGCCUUGUACACACCGCCCGUCAAGCCAUGGGAGCCGGGGGUACCUGAAGUGCGUAACCGCGAGGAGCGCCCUAGGGUAAAACUGGUGACUGGGGCU